GAUGAACGCUGGCGGCGUGCUUAACACAUGCAAGUCGAACGGUGAAGGCGGAGCUUGCUCUGCUGGAUCAGUGGCGAACGGGUGAGUAACACGUGAGCAAUCUGCCCCUGACUCUGGGAUAAGCGCUGGAAACGGCGUCUAAUACUGGAUACGAGCUGCGAAGGCAUCUUCAGCAGCUGGAAAGAAUUUCGGUCAGGGAUGAGCUCGCGGCCUAUCAGCUUGUUGGUGAGGUAAUGGCUCACCAAGGCGUCGACGGGUAGCCGGCCUGGGAGGGUGACCGGCAACACUGGGACUGGGACAGGGCCAGGACUCCUAGGGGAGGCAGCGGUGGGGAAUAUUGCACAAUGGGCGAAAGCCUGAUGCAGCAACGCCGCGUGAGGAACGACGGCCUUCGGGUUGUAAACCUCUUUUAGCAGGGAAGAAGCGAAAGUGACAGUACCUGCAGAAAAAGCGCCGGCUAACUACGUG
rnacentral:rRNA from 1 species